UACGGAGGGUGCAAGCGUUGUCCGGAUUUAUUGGGUUUAAAGGGCGCGUAGGCGGCUGUACAAGUCAAAGGUGAAAUCCCUCGGCUCAACUGAGGAACUGCCUUUGAAACUGUACGGCUUGAGGCCGGGAGGGGUAGCGGAAUUCCCAGUGUAGCGGUGAAAUGCGUAGAUACUGGGAGGAACACCAGUGGCGAAGGCGGCUACCUGGACCGGUUCUGACGCUGAGGCGCGAAAGCGUGGGUAGCAAACGAGG
rnacentral:rRNA from 1 species